AAGUAGUGAAUAGCAAGAGGUUUGUGAACUCCAUUAGCCAUGACGAAGAAGCUGAUGAUAAUUCCGAAAAAGAAGGGGACUCCCUUGACGAAGUUUAUGCACUCCGAUCUUCCGAAAUUAGUAAAUGCUGGAAUUGCGAAGAACAGGGCCACAAAUACCAGGAAUGCCUAAAACCUCGUCGUAUUUUCUGUUAUGGUUGGGGUGUACCUGAUACGUACAAGCCCAACUGUGCAAAGUGUAAAUCGACUACGGAAAACGUGUCCCAGGAUGUCCGUCGGUCAACAAGACGCGACAUCCGACGUUAGUCUCGGAUGUUCAACAUACACAUUUUAUUACCGGACGUGAACUUAAACCAGACAUAUCCAAAUCCUCCUCAGACAUACCACUCCCCCUACAUUUCAGACCAUACCAUAUUAGGCUUCGAGAAUAUCAGAAGCGCAGAGCCGAAAUUUUUGAUGCCAAACCUCCUUUAGCGGUGUUGUCUCGUUCAGCGGAACGAAUGCGUGAAUUUUGGAAGCGAAAGAGAAGCCUACGUCACGUCACUGUUUCCUAGGUCGUUCACAAAGCGAGCGAUAUUCGUCCUUUUACUCAAGUUGAGAUACUCGGUGAGAGUUACCUUGCGCUAUUAGAUAGAGCCAAUAAAAGCGUCAUCGGAGGAAAAUUAGCCGAUAAAAUUCUCUCGAAAAAUCUUCUGACAAACAAAAUGAAAGGCGUUGUUCGUACUGCUGACGGUCAGACUCAGAUUGUAGCUGGUUUUAUUAAAGUUCCUCUGAAUUACAAUUCAAUACACUCGGACUUUGAAUUUCUAAUAGUUUCAUCUAUCCAACAGGAUAUAAUAUGUGGAAUGGACUUUUGGAAAAGAUUUGGCAUUUCUAUCGUUCCAUCAUCAUCAUGGACAGUAAGCGAGUUAUCCUUUCAAUCCGAGCACGAGUUGCUCAAGUUAGCCUUGUCGAUUUCUCAAAAGAAGCAGUUACAGCACGUGAUCGAAUUGUUUCCGUCAUUCGAAAAGAAUGGACUGGGGUUAACGACCCUAAUAGAGCACCACAUUGAUACGGCUAACAGCAAGCCAGUUAAGCAAAGAUUUUACCCUUUGUCUCCAGCAAAGGACACCCUUUUAUGUGCAGAGAUUGGUCGCAUGUUGAGUAUGGAUGUUAUUGAAGAAGCUCCGAGCUCCCCGUGGUCAUCUCCUGUCACACUGCACAUCAAACCUGGUAAGGUGCGACUUUGUUUAGAUGCCCGCAAACUCAACGCAGUUACAGUCAGAGAUGCGUAUCCAAUUCCGAUCAUGGAUGGCUUGUUAAGUAGGUUGCCGCCGGUUCACUGUAUUACAAAGAUAGACCUUAAGGAUGCCUUUUGGCAGAUUAGAUUAGACCAAGAAUCUCGUGCGAAAACAGCUUUCACAGUACCAAAUAGGCCGCUUUAUCAGUUUAAAAGAAUGCCGUUUGGAUUGACAAACGCGCCACACACGAUGAGUCGGUUGAUGGACAUUGUAAUUCCGUAUCAACUCAAAUCUCAUGUGUUGGUAUAUCUUGAUGACUUAUUGGUGCU
rnacentral:lncRNA from 1 species